rnacentral:sRNA from 1 species
UUGAAAGAUUCUCUUCUCAUGUGUUCCAAAUUUA